UACGUAUGGUGCAAGCGUUAUCCGGAUUUACUGGGUGUAAAGGGAGCGUAGGCGGCGCGUUAAGUCUGAUGUGAAAACCCGAGGCUCAACCACGGGAGUGCAUUGGAAACUGGCGGGCUGGAGUGCCGGAGAGGUAAGCGGAAUUCCUAGUGUAGCGGUGAAAUGCGUAGAUAUUAGGAGGAACACCAGUGGCGAAGGUGGCUUACUGGACGGCAACUGACGCUGAGGCUCGAAAGCGUGGGGAGCAAACAGG
rnacentral:rRNA from 1 species